AAUGAACGCUGGCGGCGUGCUUAACACAUGCAAGUCGAGCGCGAAAGUGGCUUCGGUCACGAGUAGAGCGGCGAACGGGUGAGUAACACGUGGACAACCUGCCUGGAUGUGGGGGAACAACUCGGGGAAACUUGAGCUAAUACCGCAUACGUCCGAGAGACUACGGUCAAUCGGGGAAAGGUCGCCUAUCCUUGGAAGCGAUCGCAUUCAGAGGGGUCCGCGGCUGAUUAGCUAGUUGGUGAGGUAGUGGCUCACCAAGGCGACGAUCAGUAGCCGGCCUGAGAGGGUGAACGGCCACACUGGAACUGAGACACGGUCCAGACUCCUACGGGAGGCAGCAGUGGGGAAUAUUGGACAAUGGGCGAAAGCCUGAUCCAGCAACGCCGCGUGGGGGACGAAGGCCUUCGGGUUGUAAAC
rnacentral:rRNA from 1 species